rnacentral:lncRNA from 1 species
AUGAAACAAUGGAAUAAGUCAGCACCAGGCACAGCUCUGUUGAAGCCAAUGGAACCACUUCACUUUCCACUUGCUGAGGCAGUGUAUUUUGUCAUUGAUUCCAGAGUAUCUUCUGGUUUUGAAACUGAAGAUAAGCCUUCAAAGUUGAGUUUCCUAUUGCAAAUGGACUUUAUGCUCAGCAACCACUGGGUUACAUUUUCUUUGCCUCACCCUUCAAGGCUUGUCACACCUGAAUUGUGGAAUUAUGCAGGCCAGCUGGCAGCCCAGUCCAACACAAUGUGUGUGCCAUGCAAAGUGUUUGUUGUAACAAACCUCUGAGGUUUUGAAGGAUCCUCUUCAAGGAAUGAAGAACUGCAAAUCUUCAUAUCCCUGCCUUCCUCCAAGGAACACCCUGCUCCUUCCCUAAGAGUAGGUGAAGUGUCUCAGGUCAGGGAAGCAGUGGAAGCAUUGCAGCAAAACUGCUCAUCACCCACCGCCACUUCCUUCAGCUCUCAAAAGUGCUGCUGACUUCUCCUGAGAUGCCUGGCUGUAACAGCUGAAGGCGUAUCUCAGCCCAAGGCAGCAGCACCUCUAUGACAACAGGUAGCUUUUAGCUCCAGAUACAGCUUCUUCAGUGUUUGGGAAAGUAAAGCAGGAACUUAAUAAGGGAGCUCACAAAUGGCAUCUUUUUGUGACGGUCCAAGCCAAAAUUCUGUCUAGCAAAGCCACUGAUGUCUUUAUGUGCUUAAUAAAGUCUGUUUUAGAUCCAGUUUCUGUAACUCAAACCAUCUCCAAUUAAUCUAAACAAAUAAUCCCAGGCACAGAUCUAACUAGCUGAUUUCUGCUAUUCUUCAACACUAAUGUUCAGACACACUACUGAGAGUGAUGGGUCAACAGGAACAACAGGAAGCAACUGUGCUUUAAAAUUCCUUCUCCUGAUACCACAGGGACAAUAUAAUUUUGUUCCUCCAAAAAAAAAAAAAAAAAAAAAAAAAGAAAAUUUGUAUAUAUUAAUUCUACAGAAAUGUUCUUGUGCCUACAUAAAACCUGG